AAUUAUUGUUUUCCUUUAGUAGCUUGCCGCAUAAUUCAUUCAAGCAUAUUUAGAGUGGAGCGGGAAUAUUCAAACAAGGAAAUGUACACCAUAUCUGUUAGUAUACAUGUGACACUUUCAUGUCUUUCGACUAAUGAUGCCUCCUACCAGGUAUCACUAAUAGCACAUUCAUCACAACAUUUGUAUAGCUCAUUCUGGUGUAAGUCUGUCCAAUUUAGAAAGGAUUUUAAAGCGGAUUCAUACAGGUUAUAGAAGUUAGAGUCAAAUAAUAUAAUAAGUGAUUUGUAUAGAAGUCAGGCACAGCCAUCCCUACCAUGGCAUCGGCGUGGCCUUCCCUGCCAGGCGCGGCGGCUCCUUGGUCCGAUCGCGGUGCUGAUGCAGAUGGAUCGACGAGGGUUAGCAGGCUCGCCGGCUGGUGUUUCCUCGGACGCAUCGCUGUUCCAAUCGUGAUGGCAUGACCAUAUGAGUCUACAAGACUUUGAGGCAGCUCAUUUGCGUGGAUGUUUGUGGCUGGGCACACAAUCCAUUAAUCCUUCAUAUUUUCGCACAGAAGAACGGAUGGUCCACUGUAGAAGAAGCACAAGCAUCAUGUGGCAUUGUAGUCAUUGGUGAAGAUUGAUAUGCACUCAAAUGCAAGACUUAUGAUGGUGUUUGGUGACCGAUAAAGAUGAUUGGAAAGCCUCUUUCCAAGCAUAAGCUUAGUUGUCCAUCUAGGGGUAUUGGUGGUCAUGCCGGAAGCCCGGAACAUAUGCUGAAUGAGGCAUCCAUGGUCAAGCUUCAAUAGACUUGCUAAAGUUAAAGAAGCUCAUGAUGAACUUUUGCAGACAAUGUUUCUGAUGUUCAAGAGAGAACUUUGUAAAUGAGGACAAUGUCGCGAGCUGCAAAUCUGUAAAUGAUGUUGAAGAGAGCUGUAAAUGUCUCUGCAACAACGGACCUGCAGCCUGUAGGUAAUUGGUCUUGUGUCUUCCAGCUGCAAUAAAACAAGUCUAAGCGAUCAAGGUCCUACUGUUCAAUUAAGCUGGCCGUUUGCUUGCUUUUGUGCCUACAACAUGCUCGCUGAAUUGUUUUGUCGUAGUAUGAAAGCUUGUAAGCGCCAGAUUG